GGGGGAUGAAGAUGUCUUGAAAAAAGCUCAUAUUUUUACAGGGCCCCUGUUGAGGUUAUCGGUAAAUUUCGAUGCCCCCCUCCAAGUUUUUAAAAUUUUCAAUGCCCCCCCCCCUCUAGAAUUCGGAAUCGAAGGAGUACAAUCCGGAAUUCUCUCUUAUCAUAGAUACAAUUUGCAGUUCCUCAAGAUGUCUGAUAUACUCAUGCAUGUACUUCUCCUCAACAAAACUACCGAUCUGCUGCUUCUUUCACCUCACUAGCACCAGAUGAAAUGGCACC